rnacentral:rRNA from 1 species
GACGAACGCUGGCGGCGUGCUUAACACAUGCGAGUCGAACGAUGAAGCUGGAGCUUGCUCCGGUGGAUUAGUGGCGAACGGGUGAGUAACACGUGAGCAAUCUGCCCUUGACUCUGGGAUAACUGCGGGAAACUGUAGCUAAUACCGGAUACGAGGCUCGAGGGCAUCUUCGGGUCUGGAAAGAAUUUCGGUCAAGGAUGAGCUCGCGGCCUAUCAGCUUGUUGGUGAGGUAAUGGCUCACCAAGGCGACGACGGGUAGCCGGCCUGAGAGGGUGACCGGCCACACUGGGACUGAGACACUGCCCAGACUCCUACGGGAGGCAGCAGUGGGGAAUAUUGAACAAUGGGCGAAAGCCUGAUGCAGCAACGUCGCGUGAGGGAUGAAGGCCUUCGGGUUGUAAACCUCUUUUAGCAGGGAAGAAGCGAAAGUGACGGUACCUGCAGAAAAAGCACCGGCUAACUACGUGCCAGCCGCCGCCGUAA